GGAACAUCUGUAUCCCUGGAGAGUUGCUUCCUACUACAGGUGGAAUAGGACCCAGAGUCCUAUCCAACUUUGUUCACAGCCACCAUUGUGGCUCUCUACAAAGAUGAGAGCCCAGAGAAUUUCUCAGCCUGAUCUUCCCCCAGUGCUCUCUCUAAUUGAGUCAAGGAAAACAGCCUUAGCAGGGACCUUGGACGGCUGCCGAAUGAAGCCAUCGCUGUGUGAGUGAAGCUGAAAUCUCCGUGGCUGUUCUCGCAGGCUGCUGAAGCAUAGCAGUCCAAGACUGAUGGCAUUGGCUAGUUUUGCUGGGGAAAUAUUUCUUCCCAUUUUCUUUUUUAAUUAACUAGUUUCAACGUUUGACUGAAGGGGGAGGCACAGACAUUUACAAUUAGUCCCUCCAGAGCUAUAUCAGAAAUUGAUACGCUAUUUAGUAGCUGCAGAAAUGGAUACACUACUUGGGAGCCAGUCCCAGGAAGAAAGAGCCACCUAGAAUUUCUGUACUGAAAGUCCGAAUGGAAUGACAUGAAGCUUUAUAAAUCACCGAAGAGGUCUAGACGGUGUGAGUUUUGCAAAUUAAAGUUGUUUCUCUCUCCUUC